rnacentral:lncRNA from 1 species
UCAGGGAUGGUCUCGAACCGGAAGUCGCCGGAGCCCUUCACGGCAUCCAGGCCGCCGGCUUUCAACAGGCGGGCGUAGUCAAACUCGGUGUAGACAAAGGUGACGAAGAAGCCCUUGGCGUGGAGGAUCUUGGCUAGCUUGAGGAAGGGAUUUAUGUGGCCUUGAGCUGCCAUUGGGAGGCAAACUGCAUGAGCCCUGGCCGCCAUUCUCCCACUCUCUAUGGCUCCCAACCGCCUUUUGUGUACUCGACGCUCGCCAACACUUAUCUUCAGUCCAAGUUUCAAUUGGGACUGAAGAUAAGUUUUGGAUUGGAGUAUCAUUCAAUUGUCACCAUUCAAUGUUUAUCCUUUUUAGUAUAAUAAAUAAUUUUUUUAAAAAUGUAUUUAUUUAUUUUCAAGCAGAAAAAAAAAAAAGACAAGCCAACUUGCUUUCAUUACAACUGCACGUAUAAAUAAUUUUUUGAAAUAAUUAAUUAAAGAUUCAAAGAUAUUGUCGAUGCAUAGAUAUGGAAUUAUUUGACUUUAGAAUAUUAUUUUUUUAUUCAAAAUCAAGAAAUAUCCAAAAAUAUCUAUUCAAAAUUAAGAAAACAGCUUGGCAGGAUAAAAACCUUAGUUACAAGUAAAGUUUUAGAUGGUUUACAUACAUUAUCAACAAUACAUAACUUUAAUAAUUUCAUAAUUAAAUAUUUUCAGAAACUCCUCCAGCCGCUCUCUAUCUUGCAUGUGUUUCUAAUAAAAUGAAAAUUUUUUGACAUGCAUUUAGCAUGGUUUUACGUUUUCAAAACAAAUAAUUUUAUCAAAUUCAACCAUUUAUCUGUAUAUUUUACGAGAAGUUCUUAAGACAUGGAUUGCAGCAGAUUUAGAUACUAAUGUCAGAAUUUGUGUUCCACGUGUGAGGAAAGUAAGGAUUGCGGUUUCAGACAGGCUCUGAAGUAGAGCUGAUCAAAACUCGGGCUGGGCCGGGCUCGGGCCGAGCUCUACAGCAGAAAUUAGGCCCGAUGGCUAUGCCCAGGCCCGGUCCAGCCCGACUGUCAGGCUUAAAUUUUUGUCCAGGCCUGAUCCUACUUCAUAAAUUUGGUUCUAGGCCUGUCUAGCCCGGCCCGACCCGAUAGGCCCGACCCGACAGGUCCGAUUUUUUUUAUGUUUGAAAUCUGGAAAUGGGCCAGAAUGGCCCGAUCAGGCCCAGCUUGAUUUUUUUUGGUCAGGCCGCUUUUCUUGCCCAGGCCCGACCCAUGGGCCUUUUUUUAAUGCCCAAGCCCGAAAAAUUUCGGGCCGGGCUGGGCGGGCCAGAAGGCCCGUGAUCAGCUCUACUAUGAAGGGAUACAAACGUAUUAUUAUUAAUUAAAGAAAACUUGUGGAGCAUCAACACGUAGAUGACUAAUUUUGUCCCAUCUUGGAAAUCUCCCAUGACAACUACACACUUGACACAUUGCCAAAUUCGUUACUCCCUCUAAUCGAGCAUCACGGCAUUCCAUGUAGUUUAUCAGAAGUUGCCACAAUAGCCAUUUCAAAUAGUAGACCAAUCAAAUUUAUCAUCGCAAUGAUGUGGGAGGCAAACUGCAUGGGGCCUGCCCUCCAUUCUCCCCCUCUAUGGCUCCCAACCGCCUUCGAACCAUUUAAAGCCGCAUCGAGAAGUAACAUCAGGGUGCUUCAAUUAUUGCUAGUGUUUAGAGGAAUAAACUAAGCAUGGAUAUUAACAAAAUCCCUUUAACAACUUUUAUAACCAAUGCUGUAAUAUUAUAAUUACUAUUGCUGUAAACUCUCGAAUAAUUUCUAAGUAGCUUUAUACCAUGCAACUCAACCCAUAGGAGCGGACCAAGAGCACCUUGGGUCCAACAUCAUGCUAAUAGCACGUCUAAAUUAAUAUGCAACACUUUGUUUUUCUCUUUUUUUGUUGUAUGAGAAAGAGUGAUCAAACAAACAUAUGACAUAUUUUUGUAAGUGGGUCCAGCCCACUUGAGGAGGCCCAAUAGCCCAUUAGGGCUUGAUCUUUGUUUUUUUAGGAUCGCAUGGGAGAGCGCAUGAUGAGAUAGAAAAAGGGAUGCGUGAACCUGGGGCUGGCAGCUGAGAAACAAAAGAAAAAAAGAGGGAGCCAAGGGGUGCUGUGACAAAAGGACAGAGGGCAACUUGCAGCAGCAGUGAAUGAGAUUUGCACACCGAACGGAGAAGGAGAAAGGAACUCAAGACAGUUUUUCUUUCUUUGCCUUUCUUGGGUGUGGUUUUUCACACAGUGAUUUAACAAAUUGGAUUUCUAUCUAAGAGUUGUAUUGGAUGCUAUAGGAAGUUGUAGUAUUCAUUGUUAGGGAUCUCAUUACAUUCUUGGAUUUAUCACAUUGUGAUGGUUUGGAUGAGAUCAUUAUUACUCUUAGAAAGGUGAUAUUGCAGUUUUUCCAAUUUGUUGUGAACUCAAGUUUUGGGCAUAAACUUGAGAAUUGUAAACUCUAUAUUUAUUAUAAUGAAUUGAUUGUAUUUGCCCCGUGGUUUUUUUCCUCUACACUGGAGGGUUUUCCAUGUAAAUUUGGUGUGCUUUCUUUCUGCUCUUCAGGUAUUUAAUAUAUUGCCGGUAUGAAUAUUGCUUCUAGUUAGCUUUGGUUUUGGCUUAGUUUAUUCCAUAAUAUUCCUGUUUUGCCUAUGUGAUAUAUUUAUAUGAGCCCAUUGAAGGUGCUAAUGCUAAGACAGAUAAAAAUUACACCGAUUUUUGAAAUCCAAAACAUCAUGCCUGAUAAAAAUUAAUCCACAACAGCGGCUCCAACGCAGGUACAUCCAGAGCCGGCCCGAGCCUUAGGCGAUCGAGGCGGUUGCUUAAGGCCUCGGGCCAAUGGAAGGCCUCCGGGAGGCGAAGGGAGCAAAGAGAUUAAGAGAGAGGGAAGUUUUUACGUCGUGACCAAAAGGAAGCAAAGGCCCCAUAUAAAACGGGAACAAGAGCUGGCUACGAGUCUUCCCCUUGAUGGGAGGGAGGUGGAGAGUUUCCUGGCCUGCAGAGGGACAAUUUGGGAAGUUGGGGACAGUAGUUUUGUUUUGGGUAGAGAGAGGAAGGAUUUGGUUGGCUUGAUACACGCGUGAAGCCACUCUUAUCUUUCAUCCCUUCUCUUUUUUGGUUUUCAUCUUGGUUUUCCUUCCCUCACAUUACUCCUGACCCAGCUGGGCCAUCAGGAAGAAAGGGGAUUGGAAAUGGACUUCUUGGAGGGUGGAGAUUCUUUUAAUUUUCUCCUAUCGGUUUCUUCUCCCCUCUUGGGUGGUACAGAGAGAAAAGGAGGGAGGGGGUUCAAUGGCUGCUGUGUGAUGUUGCAGUUGCUGCUUGGGUACUCACUUGAAGGGGAGAUGGUGGGAUGGGACUUUUAUUAAUUAGAUAGAGUGAAUUUCCCAUAAUGCCCCUAUUUUUCCCUUAUAGGAGGCUUCUUUUUUGACAAAUUCUUUUCUUUACCUUGGCUAUGAAGUGCCAUGGGAUGACCCUUUCCUAUUCUGCUCUUGCUCGACGGGGUAAACAGUCUUGUCAAGCAUUAUCUCAGUUAUUUAAUCAGUUUCAUGGCCCUUCUUUUAGAGUAAUUACUUUUCUGUGCUCCCAUUCAAGAAUUAUAUUAAAUUAAAAAGGUUUUUUUGCCUAUUUUUGUUAGAUACAUGUAUCUUGAAAUAAUGUACUUAAUAGCUAUCUAUUUUCAUAUCAUUUUUUAAGUAUUUUAUAUUUAUUAAAAAUUUUAUUAUUAAAAAAAAUCUCAUUUAUUGGAUUCGUCUUAGGGCCCCAAAUGUAUUGGGCCGCCUCUGGUACAUCCAAUUCCAAAGGACAUGUAAUAAGUUUUGAUGACUGCAAAACAUGCUGAUGAUUGCUCAUUCAAGUCCUGAGAAUAAGCUAUUGAGUAGUAGGUUCAUGUUUGAGUAGGAGGUUCCGCCUUCUUUGACAGCCCUCUCCGCCAUCUCCUUAAACUUCCCUGCCUUCUUUCUCAUAUCCCUUCCCUUCGCUCCAUCCAUCACCUCCUUAAUAACGCCCUCUACCUCGUCCCUUUUCAAAUCGGCACCAAUCUCCAUUCCAAUACCCCAUUUCUUGCAAGCAAAGUAACAGUUGGUCGGCUGCUCCGCAAAGGCAGGAUAACAUAAAACCGGCACUCCACCUCGUAUGCUUUCUAAUAUGGAAUUCCACCCACAGUGUGUCAAAAACGCCCCAACCGAAGGGUGCAAGAGAACUUCCUCUUGCGGGCACCAGCUUGCCACCAAACACCUUUCCUUCGUCUCUCUCAAAAAAUCUUGCGGCAAAAUGGCCUUGGCGCCGGAGACGAGGUCGGAUCGGAUGACCCACAAGAAGAAAUGAUUACUAUUUGCAAGCCCCCAAGCGAACUCCAGCAAGCGCUCCACCGACAAGUUAAUGACGCUACCAAAGUUCACGUACACCACGGAUUUGGGGUCCCUUCGAUCCAACCACUCGAUGCAACUCGCAUCCUCUUUCCAUAGAUUCGAUUGCAGAGACAUGGACGAAUUAUUGGAUAUCUGUUUGCAAAGCAUGGAUAGGGAACCGACGGUGUAAAUGGGAGGCAGCAUCCGUCCCAAUGCAUCUAGAACUUCAUGCUCCAAGUCGUCCAAAGUAUUGAUCAUGAUUGCAGUGGCGUUGAAGGCAUCUUGCGUCUCCUUUAUCACGAAGUUAAACAAGAUAUCGUGAGGGUCUGUCGUUCGAAAGAGUUCAGGAAGAUCUCUUAGUCGAAUGUCCCUCAUGCCAGGGAUCCAAUCCACGGGAGUGUUAAGGAAUCCAUUGGUGAGAUAACUCUCAUCUGCACAGUGAAAGAAAAAAUAGCAGCAGUAAACAUAAAAUGGGGCUAUAAAGUACAAACAACCAAGAAAAAUCAAGAAAAACACCCUUGAAAUUAGAAUAUUUAUCUGCCAUCCAGCUUUUCGAGUUCCUUGGCAUGAUUGCAGAGGACAAAUCGACUGUGGUUUGUAUUAGGACCAAGAGAGCCUCAACCUAGCUUGUUACCAUGCACUAAUCGUAGAAAAUUACUAGGGGGAAGCGAGAGCAAGCUAGAGAGACAACCAGACCUUUCAGUGGCGCCAAGCCCUUGUCAAUGAGCUGCGGAUAAUGGAGGAAGCCCAUCAAACCACAAGCGCUAGCAGUCCAAAACAUGAUGUCGGAGAUGCCGAGCUCUGCGGCGGCCUUCCGGCCGAAGCUCAUGAUGCCAUCCCAGAUGACAAGGCUAACUGGAGGCGCUGCAGCACUACUGUUAAGCCUGGUUAUGAGAUCGCGAAAAGGGAUCAGCCCUUUCUUGCUGAGGGAAUCGCACAGGGUGGGUAUGUGCCGGUUGCCGUCGAGAUCGGACGGCGGGAGGCCAUCAGGGAUGGUCUCGAACCGGAAGUCGCCGGAGCCCUUCACGGCAUCCGGGCCGCCGGCUUUCAACAGGCGGGCGUAGUCAAACUCGGUGUAGACAAAGGUGACGAAGAAGCCCUUGGCGUGGAGGAUCUUGGCUAGCUUGAGGAAGGGAUUUAUGUGGCCUUGAGCUGCCAUUGGGAGGCAAACUGCAUGAGCCCUGG